GGGAUCCUACGGGGCGCAGCAGUGAGGAAUAUUGGUCAAUGGGCGGAAGCCUGAACCAGCCAAGUCGCGUGAGGGAAUAAGGCCCUACGGGUCGUAAACCUCUUUUGCCGGGGAGCAAGGGCCGGGACGAGUCCCGGUCCGGAGAGUACCCGGAGAAAAAGCAUCGGCUAACUCCGUGCCAGCAGCCGCGGUAAUACGGAGUAUGCGAGCGUUAUCCGGAUUUAUUGGGGUUAAAGGGUGCGUAGGCGGGGUUUUUAGUCAGCGGCA
rnacentral:rRNA from 1 species